GAUGAACGCUGGCGGUAUGCUUAACACAUGCAAGUCGAACGGAGUGCUUCGGCACUUAGUGGCGGACGGGUGAGUAACGCGUGAGAAUCUGCCUUCAAGUUCGGGACAACCACUGGAAACGGUGGCUAAUACCGGAUAAACCGAAAGGGGAAAGACUUGUUGCUUGAAGAAGAGCUCGCGUCCGAUUAGCUAGUUGGUGGGGUAAAGGCCUACCAAGGCAGCGAUCGGUAGCUGGUCUGAGAGGACGAUCGGCCACACUGGGACUGAGACACGGCCC
rnacentral:rRNA from 1 species